GUUAUUAAUAUUACAAAAUGAAAGUCCUCCCAAAAUCUUCUAAUAUGUACAAUGUUAUCCUAGAUGCCGAAAAGAACCAAGAAAAAUGAGACUCAGUUCUGCCCAGGCCGUGAGCUUCACUGCCAGUCACCCUAAGGAAUGGAACUGUAACUGCUUUCGACUUCAGAGGAGCAGGCCCAGCCAAAGAACUUACCUCAAAGUUCUCACAGAACCCUGGUGCUCCCUGGAGUUGGUAGUUAAAGAACAUCCUUCGUUGGUGCCCGGCAGGCAUAAUGCAACUUUCUUCUCCCUGAUCAUCUCCCAGAAAAUAAGACCUGCACAGUUAGAACACUACAGAGAAUGGAUGUAA
rnacentral:lncRNA from 1 species